rnacentral:rRNA from 1 species
UACAGAGGGCGCGAGCGUUGUCCGGAAUCACUGGGCGUAAAGGGCGCGUAGGUGGCGGCAUAAGGCCGUGGUGAAAGUCUGGGGCUCAACCCCCAGAUCGGCCAUGGCGACUGUGUCGCUAGGGUACUGUAGAGGCAGGUGGAAUCCCGGGUGUAGCGGUGGGAAAUGCGUAGAGAUCCGGAAGAACACCAGUGGCGAAAGGCGGCCCUG